rnacentral:lncRNA from 1 species
UGUAAGUGGAGAAAAAGAUGCGUUUUAGAUACUCUAAUUCUGUGUCGUUAUUGAGAAGAGCGUUUUUCUAAACGAAAUUGCUUUCCUAUUGCAGAUAUGUGCCUGGGUUGGACAAAGGAAAGGGUCUCUACUUUCUGUUUGUGAAGUCCGAAACGAGGACCCCUGGUGGGUUACUGGCUCGCCCAGUGCUCACAAGCUACUACAAAAGCGAACACUUCAAGACUCGCCCUUAUGACCCCUACAACGUCUACACCAGUCCCAACGAAGCAAUCCUCUGCGCUGACUCUUUCCAGAGCAUGUACACCCAGAUGCUCUGCGGCAUCUACGAGCGCAAACAAGUCCUCCGGCUCGGAGCCGUCUUUGCCUCCGGCCUACUCAGAGCCAUACGAUUCCUCCAACUCAACUGGCACCAACUCACACAUGACAUCCGAACCGGAACUCUCAGCCCCAAAAUCACUGACCCUUCGGUUAGAAAUUGUGUAGCAGGUGUCCUGAAACCAGACCCAGAACUCGCCGACCUCGUCGCCGGCGAGUGCUCCAAGGACAACUGGGAGGGGAUUAUCACUCGAAUUUGGCCUAACACAAAGUACCUCGAUGUCAUCGUCACCGGUGCAAUGGCUCAGUACAUUCCAACUCUGGACUACUACAGCGGUGGAUUGCCACUUGCAUGUACAAUGUAUGCGUCGUCGGAGUGCUAUUUCGGACUCAAUCUCAACCCCAUGUCCAAACCCUCUGAAGUCUCCUACACCAUAAUGCCCAACAUGGCUUACUUCGAGUUCCUUCCUCAUGAGCACUCCUCCAUCCCCUUGAGCC